UUUAUGGAACAAGGGAAGACAACCAUAAGGUCUGACUGCCUAUGGGGUCGGGCAAAAAUAUUUUUCUUCUUGCAGAGGGCCUAUAAGCAGAUGUGCAAGUAGGAAAUAUACUGCUAAAUUCUUUUCCUAGCAAGGAAUAUUAAUAUUAAUACCCUGGGAAAAGAAUGUGUCCCUGGGGGGAGGUCUAUGAACAGCCGCUCUGGGAAUGUCUGUCUUGUACAGUUGAGAUAAGGACUUAGAUAAGCCUUGGUCUCCUGUAGAACCCUCAGGUUUACUAGGGUUGGGAAAACUCAGCCCUGGUAAAUUUGUGGUUAGAUUGGUUCUCUGCUCUCAAACCCUGUUUUCUGUUGUUUUGUUUAUCGCUCUCGGCUUUCGGCUCGGAGGAGGCCAAGGUGCAACUUUCUUCAGUCAUCCCAAAUCCGGGUUCAUCCGACACCAGCCGCCUCUACCAUGCUGCUGAAGUUCAACCCCAAUGAGAUCAAAGUAUACCUGAGGUGCACUGGAGGUGAAGUCGGUGCCACUUCUAUGCUGGCCCCCAAGAUCGGCCCCCUGGGUCUCUCUCUAAAAAAGGCUGGUGAUGACAUUGCCAAGGCAACAGGUGAUCGGAAGGUCCUGAGGAUUACAGUGAAACUGAGCAUACAGAACAGACAGGCCCAGAUUGAGGUGGUGCCUUCUGCCUCUGCCCUGACCAUCAAAGCCCUCAAGGAAUCACCAAGAGACAGAAAGAAACAGAAAAACAUUAAACACAGUAGGAAUAUCACUUAAGAUGAGAUCAUCGACAUUGCUCAACAGAUGCAGCACCUAUCCUUAGCCAGAGAACUCUCUGGAACCAUUAAAGAGAUCCUGGGGACUGCCCAGUCUGUGGGCUGUAAUGUUGAUGGCCGCCACCCUCAUGACAUGAUAGAUGACAUCAACAGUGGUGCUGUGGAAUGCCCAGCCAGUUAAGCACAAAGGAAAAUAUUUCAAUAAAGGAUCAUUUGACAACUAGAAAAAAAAAAA